GAAGAAGUUACAGGGGCGACGUCUUGACUUUGACUACAAAAAGAAGAAGCAAGCAAAAGGAAGCACAAUUCCUGAAGAAGAAAUCCAAUUUGCAGAAGAGAAGUUUCACGAAUCUCAGGAGCUUGCUGAGAACGGGAUGAGGAACCUCCUUGAGAGUGAUGUUGAGCAGGUGUUACAGCUUCAAGCGUUAGCCGAGGCUCCUAGAA